rnacentral:rRNA from 1 species
AGAGUUUGAUCAUGGCUCAGGAUGAACGCUAGCGGCAGGCCUAAUACAUGCAAGUCGAGGGGCAGCGCGGUAGCAAUACUGGCGGCGACCGGCGCACGGGUGCGUAACGCGUAUGGAAUCUACCCUUUACUGAGGGAUAGCCCGGAGAAAUUCGGAUUAAUACCUCAUAGUAUCGUGCUUUGGCAUCAAGGUAGGAUUAAAGAUUUAUCGGUAAAGGAUGAGCAUGCGUAUGAUUAGCUAGUUGGCGGGGUAAUGGCCCACCAAGGCGAUGAUCAUUAGGGGGUCUGAGAGGAUGAUCCCCCACACUGGUACUGAGAUACGGACCAGACUCCUACGGGAGGCAGCAGUAGGGAAUAUUGGACAAUGGGCGAGAGCCUGAUCCAGCCAUGCCGCGUGCAGGAAGAAGGCCCUCUGGGUUGUAAACUGCUUUUGACUAGGGCCAAAAUACCCAUGCGUGGGGACUUGAGAGUACUAGUAGAAUAAGCACCGGCUAACUCCGUGCCAGCAGCCGCGGUAAUACGGAGGGUGCAAGCGUUGUCCGGAUUUAUUGGGUUUAAAGGGUGCGUAGGUGGCCUUAUAAGUCAGUGGUGAAAGCCUGCAGCUUAACUGUAGGACUGCCAUUGAUACUGUAAGGCUUGAGUACUGAUGAGGUAGGCGGAAUUGAUAGUGUAGCGGUGAAAUGCAUAGAUAUUAUCAAGAACACCGAUUGCGAAGGCAGCUUACUAAGGAGUUACUGACACUGAGGCACGAAAGCGUGGGGAUCAAACAGGAUUAGAUACCCUAGUAGUCC